CCUGCUGUCUAGAAAUGUUCAUUAGUACGGCAACUGGGAGUAGAACAAUUUGUAGCCUCAUUAGUAAUUUUUCUGAUUGGUAGGAAAAUUCUGCAGUUCUGAGCUGACGGAGUGCUUAUUCAUCAACAUCCCGAAUGCGACUGCAUCCAGAUUCUUCACUGUUGCACAGAAAAAACCCUCAGACACAGUGUCUAAUAGCAGCAUGUACCUGUCUCUCAACAAAGAGGUCCAUGAUAUGAAAUCGCCACUGUAGCAGGAGAAACAGGCAGCCGAUACCAUCACCUUUGGUGGCUAAGAAGCCAGUUGUAAAGCAACAAUUAAAGAUUGGGAUUUUAUUUUCUAUGUGUCUAACCCCAUCUUCCCAUCCCUCCUGUACAGAAUAUAUAACUACAAUAAAACUUCCAA